rnacentral:rRNA from 1 species
GACGAACGCUGGCGGCGUGCUUAACACAUGCAAGUCGAACGGAAAGGCCCUGCUUUUGUGGGGUGCUCGAGUGGCGAACGGGUGAGUAACACGUGAGUAACCUGCCCUUGACUUUGGGAUAACUUCAGGAAACUGGGGCUAAUACCGGAUAGGUGCUCCUGCUGCAUGGUGGGUGUUGGAAAGUUUCGGCGGUCGGGGAUGGACUCGCGGCUUAUCAGCUUGUUGGUGGGGUAGUGGCUUACCAAGGCUUUGACGGGUAGCCGGCCUGAGAGGGUGACCGGCCACAUUGGGACUGAGAUACGGCCCAGACUCCUACGGGAGGCAGCAGUGGGGAAUAUUGCAUAAUGGGCGGAAGCCUGAUGCAGCAACGCCGCGUGCGGGAUGACGGGCUUCGGGUUGUAAACCGCUUUCGCCUGUGACGAAGCGUGAGUGACGGUAAUGGGUAAAGAAGCACCGGCUAACUACGUG